rnacentral:lncRNA from 1 species
UCCUGUUUUGAACCUGCACAGCUCUUUUCUGGAAAAGUUUACAAUUAAUUAAUUUUCAACUCCAAUACAAUAAGAAUAUCAGCAUUUUAUUGACGUAUUAUUAUACCUCAAGGUCGUACAGGGAAUGGAGAAUGAGAAUCAGGCACAUCACUUCCCAUUCUUCCUUGCUCUUGUUUUGUAACUGCUAAAACCUGUCUUCUGGUGACUCGUCUGGCAACACUAGCAAAGCAGUAUUUUCUCUGAUUUUGUCAUAUUUUUACUCUCCAUAAGCAAGAGCAAGGUUAACUCAGAUUUUCAACUGUGAUGCACUGAACAGAGUGAUAAAUUAAUAAAAACAUGAACAUUUGAUCCUCACAAAAGUCAAAAUUCUAAUUAUCUCUGCAGAAAUAGUCAAAAUCAAUUCAUGGUAAGUAAAUACAAUACUUACCUUUGUAUAACAGCUUCCAGUUUGCAGUGUACAUUUAAGUGCUUGGUAUGUAAUUUAAUCUUGCUUUAUCCUUAUAACCAACAUACUCACUUUGUUCUUUUAGAGAAAAACAAUAGAAAUACAGGGAGUAUAGAGUUUUGCUCACCUAACAUUGAGCUGGCAUCAGUACAUCAGAUAGAUAAACAGACCUUUUAUGGUUAUUAAAAAAAAAUUCCUUAAGUGAUAUCAUGAAAAUCUAUAGGACAGAUGGAUCCCCAAAUUAUUCUUUAUAAUUACACAGGUUUUUUGUUUUGAAAGAACACUUCGUGUACUACAGACAUUAAGAAGUCAAUACAAGUUCUCCCUACUGUGGAACCUUUUGUAAGCCAAAUGGCGUAAAAUGAGGGACCAGUACCCUUAAGACAUAUGUUGCUGAUGGAGGCACAGAAUAAAUUGAGGUGCUCCCAGACACGGUUCAGUGCUAUGGCAGCUUAAUGCUGGGAUGCAUUAAGAUGAAGGAAUGACUCAGGGAACGUGCUGUAAGACAAAUGCUGAAAGCUAGAUUUGUUUUUCACCUUUUUUUUUUUUUUUUGUAAAAAUGAAAAUUCUCUUUGGAUUUCUUUUGGUUGGCAAAAAUAAGCACUAAUGUAGGUGUUUUGUAAGAUGAAACAGUAUAAAGUGAGCUUUCAAAACAGAAUACUUGCAGAAUGAGAUUUCAGUCUUCUAAAAUAUUCUGAAUUAUUAAAAUUAUUUUUAAAAGAACUAUUGUGUGAUUUACUGACUGGUCAGGCUGUAUUACAGCAUAGGCUGUCAAAUGAGUGCUACUCAGGGAGGAGACCCAGUGCAUGGUCCAAGGUCACUGAGAACAGUCAGCCGUGCUCACCAGAUUCAAGUAGUCUAGCACUUAAAAAAACAAGACGGGAGAGCACCCAAGAUCGAGCCUUUUGCAGUGUGUCCAGUCCCCAGGGCCAGCAAGUCUGCUCUGCAGCCAACACAGGAAGUACUAUAUGUUUUAAAAGUUGAAGUGAGUGAAGAAUAAGUGGGUGUCAGUUAUUCCUUUGGGGUAAUUGUUUCCCCCCCGUAAACUUGAGAAAAUCAGGUCUGGAUGAGACUAGAUGGGCACGGAAAGAUGAGUCUCCAUAGAAACAUCACUUGGAGUUCCCGUCGUGAUGCAGCGGAAACGAAUCCAACCAGGAGCCAUGAGGUUGCAGGUUUGAUCCCUGGCCUCCCUUAGCAGGUCAAGGAUCCAGCAUUGCCAUGAGCUGUGGUGUAGAUCACAGACACAGCUCGGAUCUGGCGUUGCUGUGGUGCGUAGGCUGGUGGCUACAGCUCCAAUUAGACCCCUAGCUUGGAACCUCCAUAUGCUGCGAGUGUGGCCCUAAAAAGACAAAAAGACAAGAUAUUAUCACAUUUAUGAGUGAAAAACUUGACCAUAGGAGAGGUCAGUGUCAUCUGCAAAUAGGCUUUUAUUUCUAUGAUGCUAUAGAAAACUCUGAAGACUCCACCAAGAAACUGUUCAGACUAAAAUAGAGUAAACUUGCAGGGUCCAAAAUCAAUACAGAGCAAUCUGCUGUAUUUCUGUUCACUAACAAUGAACUAUCAGAGAAAUUAAUCCCAUUUACAGUUGCAUCAAAAAGAAUGAAGUACCCAGGAAUGAAUUUAAAGAGGUGAAAGAUUUGUACACAUGAAAACUACAAGAUGAAAGAAGUCAAGAAACAGAGGAAAGAUAUUUCAUGCUCAUGGACUGAAAGAAUUAAUAUUGUUAAAAUGUCCAUAGUACCCAAAUCAACCUACGAAUCAGUGCAAUCCCUAUCAAAAUUUCAAUGGCAUUUUUCACAGAAGUAAAAUGAACAAUCCUAAAAUUUAGAUCCACAAGAGCACUGGAAUAGAAAAGCAAUCUUGAGAAAGAACAAAACUGGAGACACUUCCUAAUUUCAAACUAUAUUAUUAAGCUACAGUAAUCAAACAGUUUGAUGUUGGCAUAAAAACAGACACAUCAACCAGUGCAACAGCCCAGAUGUAAACCCACACAUACAUGGUCGAUUCAUUUAUGACAAAAGCGCCAAAAAUAAAAAAUAGGGGAAGGACAGUUUCUUUAAUGGUGUUGGGAAAAUUGGACCCCCUUCUUACACCAUACACAACCAACUCAAAGUGGAUUAAAGACUUGAGUGAAACAUAAAACUCCUAGAAGAAAACGGGGUGAUCUCCUUGACAUCAAUCUUGUUGGUGAUGUUUUAGAUUUGAAACCAAAAGCAAAAAUAAGUGAGACUACAGCAAAUGAGCUGCACAGCAAAGGAGACGAAAUGAAAAGACAACUUACAGCAUGAAAGAAAAUAUGUGUAAAUUGUACGGUAGGGGGUUAAUGUCCAAAAAACACGAACUCAUAUAACUGAAUAGACAUUUUUCCAAGAAGCCAUAAUUGACAAACAGGUACAUGAAAACAUGCUCAGCACCGCUAAUCCUCAGAGAAAGGCAAAUCAAAACCACAAUGAGAUAUCACCUUGCACUUGUUAGGAUGGCUGUCAUCCAAGAGAUGAGAGAAUAAAUGUUGGUGAGGAUCCAGAGAACCUCCUACACUGUGGGUGGGGUUCUAAAUUGGUGUAGGGGUCAAAAGUGUAUAUUGGAAAGGAGCUAAGAGUGGAUCUUAAAGUCCUCAUCACAGAAAGAAUAACUAUCAGAUGUGAUGUGACAGAUAUUAACUAUACUUAUUCAUUUAAACUUAUAUAUAUAAAAUCGUCUUCUACACUUUAAUAUCCAUAUUAUAUGUCAAUUAUAUCUCAAUAAGAUGGGGAGGGAGACAAGUCAAUAUAUGGGGUUAGCUAGAUUGUGUUAAGUUUGUCAUAGAUCAAAUUCUUGACCUUUAUGAAAUUGCCCGUAUUGCUAAAAUUUUAAUUCUUCAAAGAAAUAACUUGAUAAAUAUUUGUAGGUCUUGCUGUAAUGCAUUCCCUUAAAAUAGAAUUUUUGGAGAAUUUAAAUAGAAAGCCACAAGUUAAAUCUUUUUUAAAUUCAUAUCCUCUGAAAUGUUUAAGCAGCUUGGAAAUGUAUCUUUUUUAGGAAAACAGUUCAUAAAAUUACAGUGAGCUCAUGGCCACAGAAAUAAAAUCUUAUGCCAUCAAUUGUAUAUUGAAUAACUUUUAAAAUUAGGCACAAAAUAAUUUAUUAAAAUAGAAAACACUAUUUAAUUUUACUAAGAGAAGUAUUGACGCGAACGUGCUUUUCACUUGGGUUCUAAAAUUUAUAGCUAAAAACCAGCAGGUGUCACUGUGAUAACGAAAGUCUUUCUUGCCCCCCAAGCGAUUUCGUGACCAUGGGCGCAUAGCACCUAUGAACAAAGAAGCGUAAGAGGUAGCGAACUUAUAUUAUAUCCUGAACAAAAAUACCAAAAUGUGAGAAAGUAUAUAUAGUAUCUCCGGAGGCUUAGGAGUACUUUUGAGAAUUAUAUUGUUUCCUUUCUUCCUGUUUUUCUUUAAUUAUAUAAUGUGAGGGUUUUAUUAGCAUUAGAAUUGUAGUAACCCCCCUGGUGAUGCUUUGGACUUUUUAUUAAAGUGUAGAAUAGCACACAGUUCAUUAGGUUACAACCUGCAUAACCAAAAUCAAGUCAAGAAAGAAAGCAUUCCCUCUAAUGUUUGUAAAGAGAUUUGGAAAAACCCUUGGUUCUUUCCUCCAAAUUAAGGUAGAUUUAUAACUUUUAAAUUAAUUUUUAGAGAUAAAAAUGUGGCAAUUUGUCGAAAAUAAUAGGAACCAAAGAGCUAGGUGUCAGGGCAUCUUCUUCUCACCGAGUAUAGGACCCAAAACAGCAUUUAAUAAACAUUUCUUCAUUGAGGCAUUGCACUGUGUCUGGACUUUAUUCUGAGAAAACUGUGGUCAACGCUAGCACUCCAUCUUAAUGAAAUUUUUGAUCCAGUUGUGCACUUGUAAUAAUGAAAUAGAAAAAAAAAGGACCAUAAUAUUACAUAGUAUCAUAUCAAAGACCAUGCCAAACAAAGCAGUUUAUGAAUAAGUGGACUCCUAGUAGGAACUAUCUUUGUAAGUUAUAAUCAGAGCAUCAUUAGUAAUAAAGAUAAAACCUGAAUGCGGUGGGAUUUAGAGAAUGGAAAGAAAGGCGAACGAUCUGGUUCAGUUUAGUUCAGUAAGGAUUUAUGGAGCACCUGUGGUCCAGCCACUUCGCAUUCCUAGAUAACUUGUAGGGAUGAAAAAUGAAGAAAGCUCUGUUUCUGCCCUUGUUGAUCAAAAACACAGAUGGAAAUACUGGUACACUUAAACGAUAAUUAACAGACUUCUUUGAUGUUGUAAACACUGGUAGAUAAGACUGGGAAUUGGCAAAUGCACUGGUUUGAGGGUCAAAAGACCUAGGUUUUCGUCAAGCUUCCGUUGCAAAAUUUACGUGGGGGCUUAAACAACAUCAUCAGACAACUUCCACAUCAUUUUUGAUUUUAUUAACUUGUGCGUAUCACAGGUAAUAAUACUGUUAGAUCAAGUGACACGAUGAAAGUGCGACAGGAAGUUUAUAGGGUCACGUGUGUGACUGAUAGAGGAGAGGACGACCCUGCACAUGGAGUUUUGAGACUGCAGCUGAAAAUCGCAGUUCCUGGUCUAGACAGGGCAGGGAUAGAGGUGAAAAUCUCGGUGUGGAGUUUAAGACGGAGGGAACUUCUAACACCCAUAUAUGGGUAUGUCUGUGCCCUGUUUACACUUCUUGGGACAGUAAAUUUAGGUAAUCAGCCCGGUUGCUUUUUCACAUGUAUUCGUAAUUGUUAGCCCAAGUGACUGAAUUUUUUUCCUCUUGAGAACAUCAUCACUCUUAGUUGGGAAGAUCAGAAAGAUGUUAAGAUAGCAAGAAGCUAUCUUUGUCUCUUAGAUAAAUAUUUUGCUUUUAUAUAAUUAAUGAGAAAAUACUGUGGCGUUUUAUUAAGCAGCUACGCCUGUUUAAGGAUUUCCCAUUUCCUUUCCCAGAAGACGAAAUUGUUCGAGGACAAAGAAUGUAUUUCUUGCUGGUUUAUAUCCCCUGCUUCGACCAUGGGCUGUGGGUUAAAAAAGGAAAGUCUGCUCCUUGGUAUAAGACCAGUCAUGAGCUGGAUUAAGGGAGGCUUGAAUCACCCUUGCUGCAUAUGCUGCCUUUGUGUUUUACUGUGAUUGAAUAUAAAGAAAAAGACCAGAAGAACAUACCCAGUAAUGUUUAGUCUCCACCACCCAGUUUCUGGUCUACCACCACCUACCUUAGAGCCCUUGCUGUUUCUCUCAGGAAAGCUUUGAAGAUAAACUGUAUACUGUAAAAGCAGAACGCUUGAAGUCUUAUCUCUU